rnacentral:pre_miRNA from 3 species
GGGUUCCUGGCAUGCUGAUUUGUGACUUAAGAUUAAAAUCACAUUGCCAGGGAUUACC